rnacentral:sRNA from 1 species
AGCUGGUUUGCUCUGAAAAGUUUGUCAUCGCCUUCCCUGUGACCACGGAUGUACUGGCUCAGGAUGCGGCAAUGGCAAUGAAAGGCCGGUUCAUACCGGCCUUUUUUGCG